GGUACGCAAUGAUGUGCACUCAUUAAUUGUCUUUUUCUCAUCAUUCUUUCGGAUGAUUCUCAUCUCUAACUCCCUUCCUUUCUUUGUAUGAAAAAGAUUAGCAUCUGCCGCUGAAGCACAGAUCUUACGUUGGAAGGUUUAGGUACAAUCUGGCAAAACAACUAUAUUUUAGUUUCGGACGUAUACCUGCUCUCUCUUUAGAGUGCAAAUCCUUUCUUCUUCAUCAAGGGCUGGCUUCGCUCGGGCUAUCGCCUCCGUGGUGAUACGGAAGGAGCUUCUAAUCUCGUCAGUGGCGAGGGAAUAAUGACACAGAUUUCAGCGCCAUCCAUGGAUAUUUCCGCUAUUACCAAGCCAGUUCUGGAUGCUAUCGAUUUGUUGCUGCAGAAUGCUUUUGAAGCUUUAGAUGCCCCUACAUUAACAGAUUCUCAGCGCCAUGAGA